rnacentral:rRNA from 1 species
GAUGAACGCUGGCGGCGUGCCUAAUACAUGCAAGUCGAGCGGCAGCGCAGUCUUCGGACUGGCGGCGAGCGGCGGACGGCUGAGUAACGCGUGGGAACGUACCUUAAAGUGAGGGAUAACUGCUCGAAAGAGUAGCUAAUACCGCAUGUGCUCUACGGAGUAAAGAUUUAUCGCUUUAAGAACGGCCUGCGUCUGAUUAGUUAGUUGGUGAGGUAACGGCUCACCAAGACGAUGAUCAGUAGCUGGUCUGAGAGGAUGACCAGCCAGACUGGAACUGAGACACGGUCCAGACUCCUACGGGAGGCAGCAGUAGGGAAUUUUCCACAAUGGGGGCAACCCUGAUGGAGCAACGCCGCGUGCAGGAUGACGGCCUUCGGGUUGUAAACUGCUUUUAUGUAUGAAGAAUAUGACGGUAGUACAUGAAUAAGGACCUGCUAACUACGUGCCAGCCGCCGCGGUAA